GCCCAGUUAGGCCAAUGUGGGUUAUUUAGACAUAUGCUAUUUGCAAUUGUGUAAAUUUUAGGGAUACAGAGGAACAGCCUAAAACCAUUUUUUUUCUAUUUCUGACAGUACUUAAAUACAU